AGGCAACAAUAAUUGAUAUCACAUAUAUAUAUCUUCAAGUUCAACAAAUGUGUACGGUUCUUUCCUUGUAUUUCUGACCGUUGCUGUAUAAUGUAGGCCGAAUCAGAAUCCUUCAGGAUUAUUGUUCACAUGAACAUAUGCUUCUUCUCUGAAGAUUGAAAUUGUACAUCCUUGGUGAUCAGAAUGCCAGGAUGACAAUGCCAUGUCUCUCUUCCACUAGUUUGAAUCGGGAUCUUGAAAUUCCCAGGAUAUUUGCUCACAUCCACACAUGCUUCAUCUCUGAAAAUACAAAUUGCUCACACUUAUAGUUCUCUCUUCCAAAAAUCAGAACCUGUUCCGUUGUGUCCAGUAGCAGGGAAGAAGGACUGGCCGUCAGUUUGGGUACUCGUCGCUUCCCUGCCAACCAUUCACUGAAGAAAUCGAUGCGCCAUUCCCGGUGAGAACCAUCUGAAGCUGUGCUGCUGCUCACAUUUGAAGAAAAAUGAGUUGCGUUUUGCAGGCACGCUUCCAGGAAGAACGGAACCGGCGGCCCGAACGCGGCGACGCUCUGGCGAGCGGCGGCUGGACGCACAGGUGUGUCUCUUUUCCUCCCAGGGGAGCGGAAUAUAGACUAUGAGCAGAGAACCGCCGCCACGUUUGGGGCCUUUAUUGGACGUAGGCUCGCCUGGGCGGUCGCCGGCGGCGGCGCGGGCUCGCCGGCUGGCUUGCGGACGGGCCAGACAAUUUGCAGGAGGCCCCCUUGGAACUUUUCAAAACACCCCCCAGUUUGGAACCCUUGGUUUGGAAUCGCGAUCCGAUUAUGUGCAUAUAACCCCCUGUUUCGGGCCCCUUAUUUCACAGGUACCACCCUGGUCAGAACCGCCUCUUCCUCCCGCCCGUCCGGUGCCGCGCGCCCGCCGCCGCCGCCGCCCUCUCCGCCGGAAUCAUAAAGCUCCAUCCUCGCCCUCUUCCAAUCCUACAUGCCUUUUCUCCGAUUCCUACAGAAAGCGACGAGCCGGCCGGCAUUGGAGGACUCUUCCAUGGCCUCUGGAUGUUUCCAGUACGGUUUACUUUUUGUCGCCACCGGCGGCGAUCCGGGACCUGCGCCUCCUCAUCUUGCCGGCAUGUGAACAGCGCAAUUCCGGCAGAAUUAUUGGACAUCUCAUUUACACCUUCACCGCUGACUGGGGUAAUCACGCUUCGUUCACAUGUCUUUGCGUUUGCGUUUAAUUCAAUCAUGCAUUGUUAUGCAGUGAACACUGAAAACAAACCGGCUGAAAUGCAAGCCCAACUCAGAAUCUGUUAACGCCUGGAAUAUCUGUUGCUACUACUCAAGAACAAAUGCUAUCUACAAGUUGCAUCUUGCCAUCUUCAGAGAAGCAGCGUGUGUGGAGAUAUUGAAAGACAUCUUGAAGAUUGCAUAGUUCUGACUACAGUCUACAGUGCUGGUAAGGAAUGCAAAGAAUAACUGUACAUAUUUUAAGAUUGCUACGAGACUCAGAUUUUUCAUCAAUGGGUAUUCACAAACGCAGGGAAAAAAUUGACAUAAAGACAUGUCUGCCAUCUCGGGUUAUUGUUACCUCUGCAAUAAUAAUUUUGGUCAGGUCUGCAGUUUGGCGAUCCUUUUGAAGUUUUCGUUGUUCAGUCCUCCUCUUGUGCACCGAAGGGGAAAGACUCCGACAGCAGUAGACACUUUAAGCCAUCGAAAAAUACAUCCCACAACUAGCUUCAAGUGGUCUGAGUUGAAGGGCGCUACAAAUACCUUCUCAGAUGGCCACAUCAUUGGCCAAGGUGGCUCUUUCAUUAUCAACAAGGUAUUUCAUAUAUAUGAUUUGGUUUGUAACUUUGUUCAGGAUAAUUUAUAGAGUGAUAAAAAAUACCAUGUUUUGAAGCAUAUUGUUACUUUUCUUUAAAAAAAGCAUAUUGUUACUUU